GAUGAAGAACGUAGCGAAAUGCGAUAAGUAGUGUGAAUUGCAGAAUUCAGUGAAUCAUCGAAUCUUUGAACGCACAUUGCGCCCCUCGGUAUUCCGAGGGGCAUGCCUGUUCGAGCGUCAUUACACCACUCAAGCUAUGCUUGGUAUUGGGCGUCGUCCUUAGUUGGGCGCGCCUUAAAGACCUCGGCGAGGCCACUCCGGCUUUAGGCGUAGUAGAAUUUAUUCGAACGUCUGUCAAAGGAGAGGAACUCUGCCGACUGAAACCUUUAUUUUUCUAGGUUGACCUCGGAUCAGGUAGGGAUACCCGCUGAACUUAAGCAUAUCAAUAAGCGGAGGA
rnacentral:misc_RNA from 1 species